rnacentral:rRNA from 1 species
GACGAACGCUGGCGGCGUGCUUAACACAUGCAAGUCGAACGGAAAGGCCCUGCUUUUGUGGGGUGCUCGAGUGGCGAACGGGUGAGUAACACGUGAGUAACCUGCCCUUGACUUUGGGAUAACUUCAGGAAACUGGGGCUAAUACCGGAUAGGAGCUCCUGCUGCAUGGUGGGGGUUGGAAAGUUUCGGCGGUUGGGGAUGGACUCGCGGCUUAUCAGCUUGUUGGUGGGGUAGUGGCUUACCAAGGCUUUGACGGGUAGCCGGCCUGAGAGGGUGACCGGCCACAUUGGGACUGAGAUACGGCCCAGACUCCUACGGGAGGCAGCAGGGGGGAACAUUGCACAAUGGGCGGAAGCCUGAUGCAGCAACGCCGCGUGCGGGAUGACGGCCUUCGGGUUGUAAACCGCUUUCGCCUGUGACGAAGCGUGAGUGACGGUAAUGGGUAAAGAAGCACCGGCUAACUACGUG